CAGGUGAUGUUCUAUCAGGAUGGAGUCUGAUGUCUUGUCAGAUCAUGUAAUGUAGCUGCCAGAAUUGAGCCCGAGCCAGAGAAACAUCCUGGCAACUUGGAAGACCAAAUGAUUGGCAAGAAGGCUCAAGAAAUCCUACGGACAGAAGACACAUCUAGUAGAAGGCCACACAGCUCUUCUGUUCCGCCUAUUCAGUUUUUAGUAUUUUCCACACUUUUGUAUGUCUAAUUUUCUAAAUUUCAAUAUUAAC